CUUUGGGGUCUCACGCCUUCCCACCGCCCCAUUCCCCCAGUGAGCAGCGGUUCCAUCGCAGUGAACGCCGACUCUUCAGUGCAGUUGUUGGCCGAAGAGGCCGUGACGCUGGACAUGUUGGACCUGGGGGCAGCCAAGGCGAACUUGGAGAAGGCCCAAGCGGAGCUGUUGGGGACGGCUGACGAGGCCACGCGAGCAGAGAUCCAGAUCCGAAUCGAGGCCAACGAGGCCCUGGUGAAGGCCCUGGAGUAGGCGGUGCGUACCCGGUGUCCCGAGGCCCGGCUAGGGGCUGCGCAGGGGUGCCAGGUGGGCCCAGCCAGCUCGUGGGGUCCCAGCCAGCUGGGGAAGCCGUGCCUGCCAAGGAGGCCACCAGAGGGCAGUGCAGGCUUCUGCCUGGGCUCCAGGCCCUGCCUGUGUUGAAAGCCCUGAGGACUGGGACAGGGAAGCUCCUCCUCAGCUUUGAGCUGUGGCUGCCACCCAUGGGGCUCUCCUUCCGCCUCUCAAGAUCCCCCCAGCCUGACGGGCCACAUACCAUCCCCUCUGCCCUGCAGAGCCAGCCGCCAAGGUUGACCUCAGCUUCGGAGCCACCUCUGGAUGAACUGCCCCCAGCCCCUGCGCCAUUAAAGACCGGGAAGCCUGA
rnacentral:sRNA from 1 species